UCCUUUCCAAUUUUAAUGGAUUGGGAGUUUAAUUUUAAUGCAUCGCUACUAUAAUUUCAAUGAUUUUCCGUUCUGAAAUCAUUGGAGGGUAUAUGAUCGAUGGCAGACUCGAAUCAGGUGGUCUCUGCCACACCCCGAUGAGGUUCACCUACUCUCUCCGGCUGAGACGACGUCUUUCAUGGCCGGGGAUGGAGCCACCAAUCACCAUUGAGGGUUAGGGAUCGAGGGCAGAGUUUGAAUGGUCCCAGGCGCACAAGAGGGAGAGGAGGGAUCAGAAAAGGGUAUCUGCAUCUCAUGCGGAUCAUAAGAUAGGUGAGCCUGUGAGGUUGUCAGGAAAUUACGAUGGUGAUGGUGAAACAGGGAGCGGAAGAAGCGAUUGAUGAUUUUGGGAAGAAAGAGAUUGUUUUUGCGUCGUUUUUGUCUUCCGCUCAGGGAACAAAAUUCUCAUCGUUAUCUUCAGUUCCGGUUCGAAUUGCGAGAGUGGAGAUGAGGAUAACGAGAUUGUUAAAGACAAGGGGCAAGAAAUCCUGAUUUUCGCCUGUGCUGUUGGUAAUUUAUAUGAACUCAUUCUUUAUUUGGAUUUCCCAUCUCUGUUUGUUCUUAAAUAAAUUGUUCUGAAUCCUUGAAGUUUCAACUUUUGAACAAAUUGGGUAUCAUUUGCUUCCAUCGUUUCAAUUGAUUAGGCCUUAGAAGGAAAUACAUCAUUAGAAAAUUGGUUGUUGGCUUUGUCAUCUAUUUUAUUCUUAUCAGAGUUUCCAUCAGACUCUUUCUUACCCCUUUGUUCCCCAUUUUCAGUUUUUGGAUGCAGAGUUGAUUUUUUUGUGGUCAUUUGAUUUUGUUUAUGUGGAGUUUCUGUUGUAGUUUUCCUCCUCAUUUAGGGAUAUUAAUGAUUUAUACGGGUGCUCUUAUUGGUAUUAUUGACUCAAUAUGUCUGUUACUAAUUCUGUUUAAUAUCUCCCUUGCUUCAAUCUUUCAAUUUGACUUCUGAGUCUAAUUUAUGAAUUGUGUGAGAAGCUAAGCAGUAGUUGUUCUUUUUCAUUUUGACCAAGUUCUAUGAAGCUCCUUAGAUGCAGCUCUUCAUAAUUUCUGGGUAACCUGCACAAGAGCUAAGCGAAACGCAUCUCUAAAAGUGAGAUCAAUUUCUUCCUGCUUUCAUUGGCAUUAUUGCAGCUUUGGUUGACAUUGCUAUCCUUUUCGAAGCAUAUACAUGGACCAUAGUCUUCAAGAUGAGGUAGUCAAUGGAAAAGAUGAUGGUAAUGGCCUAAUGGGUAUGGUUCUUAGCCACCACAGGUAUACGGUGUUUAGCCAUUAGAUGUUGAGUUUUUUGCUAUUUUUUGAAGACAUAUCAAAGUAAAUUUUUCGAUUUAUUAAUUUGCAUUUUUUUGUGAAAGUGUUUAUUUCAAUAUGAUUUUAAUUUUUCAACUAAUUAACCCUUAUUGAAAUUUUUUACUGUCAUAGGAAAUGUUCUGCAAAAUGUAGUAGUUGUAUAUUUCCCACUCAACUUCAUAAAUAUAUUCUUCUAUAGGUGUUUAGUUGGUGAAAAGAUAGCUUGAAGGGGAAGAAGAUUGGAGCAUGUUUUUAGCUGAAUAUAUAAUUGUAAAUAGAGGUGGAUGAUGGGUAGUUCCCUGAAGAUUCUGAUGCAGGAAAUGAUGUGAACAUGUUCUGAGGUUAUUGCCCAAGGGGCCAAACUUGGUGAUUUCUGAAUGAUGACGUUGCACUGGCUUUGCACUUCAUGGGAUGGUUCUCCACCAAGAAGAGGAGUGUAGAAUGGAAGGAAGGAUGCACAGGGCAAACCAUGGCCACUGUUUCUUUUUCACCAACUCUUCAUUUAUUCGUGGUUUUAGGCAUUGUCAUUAGCUUGUUGUGGCUCUCCCAUUACAAAAGCUACAAGUCUCAGAUGCAUAACUCUGCAAUCGAGUUUCAGUUAUUCCUCUUGUUGUCACCGAUCUUGUUGAUGCUCUUCUUGGUUGCAUAUUCCACCAGUGGAAAGCUCAACUUUCACUUCACAAAUUCAUAUCAUGAGUCAAUCCUACCAGUGAUUCCUUGGAAAGUAGUGAUCUUGCUGCUGUUGUUACUGCUAUCACUUUCUUAUCAAUCCUCAUUUCAUUCCAAGUGGUUUGGACCUCUCUAGACAUUAGAUUUCAUGUUUUGGAGAACUUAUUUAAGCUUAUCGUUUAAUAUAGUUGUUUGUGUAACUGUUUCAGUAAGCUCUACAUAUAAGAAAAAUUUAGUUUAUUUUCAUAACUGUUUUGAUUACCUUAUGAAUGGACACUUAUACGAAUAUGCUUACUUAUAAUU